rnacentral:tRNA from 1 species
CUGGUUAUAGCUCAGUUGGUAGAGCGCGCGGUUCGGGACCGCGAGGUCGGAGGUUCAAGUCCUCUUAGCCAGA